CCUGGGACCUUGCUGGGCCAGUCCUCCGCAGGCCUGCGCGGAAACAGAUCAGAAAUGCAUUAUGGCAAAUGUAGCAAGUGUUCCCGCGGGUGUUGCCACUGGCUGGCGUCCAGGCGCUGGGAACCGCCCCGCGCCCGCCUCCCGACUGAACUCCUGGCUCAGGUGCAAGAGGCGGCAGGCUCCUUGCGGGGCUUACGGGGAGAAGGGGACGUUGGGCGCAGCACCGCUUCCGGGGCGGCCCCUCUCCAGCCACACUCCGACCCGGCGCGGCCACCCGGCCCCAGCUCGCAGGCCCCACUGCUGCGCCCUCUCGGGGACGCGAAUGCCCCGCGCCGGGCGGGCGCCCGCGGAGGGAGGUCCCGCUCCAGGGGCGCGGAGCUCCAGAUGCCUGCGCCCAAGGCCCCUCGCCUGGCGCCGGCUGGUCCCGAACUUCGGGGCAUGGGCACCCAGGAAGGGGGCUGCGCGUGUUGGGAGGCCCGUCCUCUCGCCGCGACCCUCCGGGGCAGCCGGGGAACCCACCUGCGGAGCGGGAAGCCCAGGAACGCUCGAAGAGGGUGUGGCCUCAGGUAGGACGCGGCGGCGAACCCAGAGCGCGGGAGAAGUUGCCAAGUGUCGCUGGGGCCUUGGCCAGGAGCCCCUCUGCCCGAGGGGCGCCGUGCUGCUCAACUCUCUCUCUCCACCUGCUUGGCCCCAGUUCCCGCCCGCCCUUCGCCUCCGGGCCCUGGCCUGGCCACAGCCGCGGGGACCUGCCUGCGGCUCCACGGCCCAGUGGCCGCCUCGCGGAGACCCGACCUGGAGAACCAGCUGAGCGCCGGCUGUGUGUAAUCACCUCGUUCACUGGCAUCGCAGAUGCACGCUCCAGAGCCGCGGGCCGACUCUCCCGGAC